rnacentral:misc_RNA from 1 species
UCUCCACUCAGAUGAUACAAAUACACAGUGAGCACGACAAGCGUUCAAUUAUGCAUGCAGUUGUGUCAUAUCACAAAGGUUCUAGGUACAGGAAUGUUUUCAUGGCUGGCCAAUCGAUCGAUGAUCAUCAUCAGAUCAUCACCAUUUCCAGAAGACGUUGGAUCCGCACUUGUACUUCUCCUUCCCCUCGCACUCGAUCUCGAGAUCAUCUGAGAUGAAUGGGACUUUCUUCUGCUUGGCGAGGUCCUGGCAGCCGGUGAAGUUGUAGGGGAACUGGCAGCUGCCGAACUCGACGGUGUACGCCCUCGCGAAGUUGGCGCCGCUCGUCGCCAGCCUCUUCUUGUCGUUCAGCUCCUUGUUGGCCUUGCUCUUCUCGAGGUACUCGUCGAACACGCCGGCCUUGGCCUGCCCGGCGGCGGUGGCGGCGAACACGGCGGCGAGACCCAGCAGCGCGGCGCGCCUGCCACCGCCCUGCUCCUCCUUGGGCGGCACAGCGACGUGCACGCGCUUCGGCACCGGCGAGGCGGCCGACUGCGGCACCGCCGCGGCGGGCUUGAGGCCGACGACGCUGGUGCUCACUCCGGCCAUGGCUCGAGCUGCGCGUGUGCAAG